CUGGCUGAAUGAAUGAAUCAGUUCAUUUUGAUUCAAAUGCUGAGUUACUGUUCUCCUCAUUUUACAGAAAGGACUGAAGGUCUCAAACACCUGAUAAUGCCUAAGAGGAGCCAGAUCCCAAUAUGUUCCAGGACAUUAGCUUCAAACAAACCUCAACUGAUACUGGCAUCAGUACUACCUUCAGCAAUUUAUGGAAUAACACCUCUUGUUCACCUGACAUUCACCUUUGAUUGGACACUACCAUGGAUUCCUGAAGAUAUACAUACCCUAGAUCUUUUUCCAGGAUAAGCCCCAGGCCAUGAGGACUCAUGUCCUUUUCUUUGGUGGUUCCCCUGGCAUUCUGUCUCUUAUCCUCUGUCACUCACCCUAUUCAAUAAACUCUGUUUUCACUUUC